CCUGGCGGCGAGCGGCGGACGGGUGAGUAUAUAUCGGAAUGUAUCCUAUAGUGGGGGAUACCGUAUCGAAAGUUACGGCUAAUACCGCAUAAAGAUCUCAAAGGAUGAAAGUGGGGGGUCGCAAGACCUCAUCGCUAAUUGGAGCCAGGCCGAUAUCUGAUUAGCUAGUUGGUCGGGGGUAAAAGCCUACCAAGGCGACGAUCAGUAGCUGGUUUGAGAGAACGACCAGCCACACUGGAACUGAGACACGGUCCAGACUCCUACGGGAGGCAGCAGUGGGGAAUUUUGGACAAUGGGGG
rnacentral:rRNA from 1 species